UACAGAGGGUGCAAGCGUUAAUCGGAGUUACUGGGCGUAAAGGGCGCGUAGGCGGUUAUUUAAGUUUGAUGUGAAUCCCUGGGCUUAACCUAGGAACUGCAUUGAAUACUGGGUAACUGGAGUACUGUAGAGGGUAGUGGAAUUUCCGGUGUAGCGGUGAAAUGCGUAGAGAUCGGAAGGAACACCAGUGGCGAAGGCGGCUACCUGGACAGAUACUGACGCUGAGGCGCGAGAGCGUGGGAGCAAACAGG
rnacentral:rRNA from 1 species